rnacentral:snoRNA from 1 species
CCUGCCACUGUACCUGCCUUGUAAUGCAGUGACUAGGACAGUCCAGAGGUGAGCUGACAGAAAAUGCCAACUUAGGAAACAGGGUUAUUCUCAUGGGUAACUUUGUGCCAAAAUCUGGGAACAGGC